rnacentral:rRNA from 1 species
AGCGAACGCUGGCGGCAGGCCUAACACAUGCAAGUCGAACGAACCUUUCGGGGUUAGUGGCGGACGGGUGAGUAACACGUGGGAACGUGCCUUUAGGUUCGGAAUAACUCAGGGAAACUUGUGCUAAUACCGAAUGUGCCCUUCGGGGGAAAGAUUAAUCGCCUUUAGAGCGGCCCGCGUCUGAUUAGCUAGUUGGUUGAGGUAAUGGCUCACCAAGGCGACGAUCAGUAGCUGGUCUGAGAGGAUGAUCAGCCACAUUGGGACUGAGACACGGCCCAAACUCCUACGGGAGGCAGCAGUGGGGAAUCUUGCGCAAUGGGCGAAAGCCUGACGCAGCCAGGCCGCGUGAAUGAUGAAGGUCUGAGGAUUGUAAAAUUCUUUCACCGGGGACGAUAAUGACGGUACCCGGAGAAGAAGCCCCGGCUAACUUCGUG